GCUGUGAUGGCUGAGAGGUUAAGGCGUUAGACUCGAAAUGCAAUGGGGUCUUCCCACGCAGGUUCGAUUCCUGCUUGCAGCA